rnacentral:rRNA from 1 species
GAGUUUGAUCAUGGCUCAGGACGAACGCUGGCGGCGUGCCUAAUACAUGCAAGUUGAGCGGACAGGUGGGAGCUUGCUCCCUGAUGUUAGCGGCGGACGGGUGAGUAACACGUGGGUAACCUGCCUGUAAGACUGGGAUAACUCCGGGAAACCGGGGCUAAUACCGGAUGGUUGUUUGAACCGCAUGGUUCAAACAUAAAAGGUGGCUUCGGCUACCACUUACAGAUGGACCCGCGGCGCAUUAGCUAGUUGGUGAGGUAACGGCUCACCAAGGCAACGAUGCGUAGCCGACCUGAGAGGGUGAUCGGCCACACUGGGACUGAGACACGGCCCAGACCCCUACGGGAGGCAGCAGUAGGGAAUCUUCCGCAAUGGACGAAAGUCUGACGGAGCAACGCCGCGUGAGUGAUGAAGGUUUUCGGAUCGUAAAGCUCUGUUGUUAGGGAAGAACAAGUACCGUUCGAACAGGGCGGUACCUUGACGGUACCUAACCAGAAAGCCACGGCUAACUACGUGCCAGCAGCCGCGGUAAUACGUAGGUGGCAAGCGUUUUCCGGAAUUAUUGGGCGUAAAGGGCUCGCAGGCGGUUUCUUAAGUCUGAUGUGAAAGCCCCCGGCUCAACCGGGGAGGGUCAUUGGAAACUGGGGAACUUGAGUGCAGAAGAGGAGAGUGGAAUUCCACGUGUAGCGGUGAAAUGCGUAGAGAUGUGGAGGAACACCAGUGGCGAAGGCGACUCUCUGGUCUGUAACUGACGCUGAGGAGCGAAAGCGUGGGGAGCGAACAGGAUUAGAUACCCUGGUAGUCCACGCCGUAAACGAUGAGUGCUAAGUGUUAGGGGGUUUCCGCCCCUUAGUGCUGCAGCUAACGCAUUAAGCACUCCGCCUGGGGAGUACGGUCGCAAGACUGAAACUCAAAGGAAUUGACGGGGGCCCGCACAAGCGGUGGAGCAUGUGGUUUAAUUCGAAGCAACGCGAAGAACCUUACCAGGUCUUGACAUCCUCUGACAAUCCUAGAGAUAGGACGUCCCCUUCGGGGGCAGAGUGACAGGUGGUGCAUGGUUGUCGUCAGCUCGUGCCGUGAGAUGUUGGGUUAAGUCCCGCAACGAGCGCAACCCUUGAUCUUAGUUGCCAGCAUUCAGUUGGGCACUCUAAGGUGACUGCCGGUGACAAACCGGAGGAAGGUGGGGAUGACGUCAAAUCAUCAUGCCCCUUAUGACCUGGGCUACACACGUGCUACAAUGGACAGAACAAAGGGCAGCGAAACCGCGAGGUUAAGCCAAUCCCACAAAUCUGUUCUCAGUUCGGAUCGCAGUCUGCAACUCGACUGCGUGAAGCUGGAAUCGCUAGUAAUCGCGGAUCAGCAUGCCGCGGUGAAUACGUUCCCGGGCCUUGUACACACCGCCCGUCACACCACGAGAGUUUGUAACACCCGAAGUCGGUGAGGUAACCUUUUAGGAGCCAGCCGCCGAAGGUGGGACAGAUGAUUGGGGUGAAGUCGUAACAAGGUAUCC